AGAGUUUGAUCAUGGCUCAGGACGAACGCUGGCGGUGUGCUUAACACAUGCAAGUGGAGCGACGAACCAGGGCUUGCCCUGGGGCAGAGCCGCGAACGGGUGAGUAACACGUGGAUAACCUACCCCGAUGACUGGGACAACCCGAGGAAACUCGGGCUAAUACCGGAUGUGCUCCUCCCUCACGAGGGGGUUGAGUAAAGGAAGCUUCGGCAUUCGCAUCGGGAGGGGUCCGCGGCCCAUUAGCUUGUUGGUGGGGUAAUGGCCUACCAAGGCAACGAUGGGUAGCUGGUCUGAGAGGACGAUCAGCCACACUGGGACUGAGACACGGCCCAGACUCCUACGGGAGGCAGCAGUGGGGAAUCUUGCGCAAUGCGCGAAAGCGUGACGCAGCAACACCGCGUGGGGGAAGAAGGCCUUCGGGUUGUAAACCCCUUUCAGGAGGGACGAAGGCCGGCCGGUGAAUAGCCGUGCCGGUUGACGGUACCUCCACAAGAAGCCCCGGCUAACUACGUGCCAGCAGCCGCGGUAAUACGUAGGGGGCAAGCGUUGUCCGGAAUCAUUGGGCGUAAAGCGCGCGUAGGCGGCCCGAUAAGUCCGCUGUGAAAGUCAACGGCUCAACUGUUGAAUGUCAGUGGAUACUGUCGGGCUAGAGUUCGGAAGAGGCAAGUGGAAUUCCUGGUGUAGCGGUGGAAUGCGCAGAUAUCAGGAGGAACACCUAUAGCGAAGGCAGCUUGCUGGGACGAUACUGAGCUAANNNNNGAAAGCGUGGGGAGCGAACAGGAUUAGAUACCCUAGUAGUCC
rnacentral:rRNA from 1 species